rnacentral:rRNA from 1 species
UACGUAGGGGCCAAGCGUUGUCCGGAUUUAUUGGGCGUAAAGAGCUCGUAGGCGGUUGGGUAAGUCGGGUGUGAAAACUCCAGGCUCAACUUGGAGAGGCCACCCGAUACUGCUCUGACUUGAGUUCGGUAGGGGAGUGGGGAAUUCCUGGUGUAGCGGUGAAAUGCGCAGAUAUCAGGAGGAACACCGGUGGCGAAGGCGCCACUCUGGGCCGAAACUGACGCUGAGGAGCGAAAGCGUGGGGAGCGAACAGG